rnacentral:rRNA from 1 species
GCUCAAAUUUGAAAUCUGGCUCUUUUAGAGUCCGAGUUGUAAUUUGCAGAGGGCGCUUUGGCUUUGGCAGCGGUCCAAGUUCCUUGGAACAGGACGUCACAGAGGGUGAGAAUCCCGUACGUGGUCGCUGGCUAUUGCCGUGUAAAGCCCCUUCGACGAGUCGAGUUGUUUGGGAAUGCAGCUCUAAAUGGGAGGUACAUUUCUUCUAAAGCUAAAUAUUGGCCAGAGACCGAUAGCGCACAAGUAGAGUGAUCGAAAGAUGAAAAGCACUUUGGAAAGAGAGUCAAACAGCACGUGAAAUUGUUGAAAGGGAAGCGCUUGCAGCCAGACUUGCUUACAGUUGCUCAUCCGGGUUUCUACCCGGUGCACUCUUCUGUAGGCAGGCCAGCAUCAGUUUGGGCGGUAGGAUAAAGGUCUCUGUCACGUACCUCCUUUCGGGGAGGCCUUAUAGGGGAGACGACAUACUACCAGCCUGGACUGAGGUCCGCGCAUCUGCUAGGAUGCUGGCGUAAUGGCUGUAAGCGGCCCGUCUUGAAACACGGACCAAGGAGUCUAACAUCUAUGCGAGUGUUUGGGUGUCAAGCCCGAGCGCGUAAUGAAAGUGAACGGAGGUGGGAACCCGCAAGGGUGCACCAUCGACCGAUCCUGAUGUCUUCGGAAGGAUUUGAGUAAGAGCAUGGCUGUUGGGACCCGAAAGAUGGUGAACUAUGCUUGAAUAGGGUGAAGCCAGAGGAAACUCUGGUGGAGGCUCGCAGCGGUUCUGACGUGCAAA